GCUUGAUUACUGGUGGCAAGAAAACAUAUGCUAUGUGCCUGUUCAUGUUAAAAGAGUUGUAGAGGCUUCAGGGGAGUUGAAUGGGCAAGAUGUUUCAAAAAGUAAAAGCAGUAUUUUCUAGAGCAAAAUUAUCACCUGCGGAAUCAGAUUGCCAGAAUGAAGGUGUCUCUCCACCACCCAAGGCAUCUACAGGCCAGGGUGAAAAUAAAAACACAGAUGAACGACAGAAAUCAGAGGCCAAUAAGAAAGCAGAACCCACAACAAACCAACAAGGUACAGUCCCAACAAAAUCACCUGAGCCUUCAAAAACUGAAAAAUCAACCGAACCAGCUAAGAAAAUUCAACAAGAACAGCAUUUGAUCAGUGAUGGGAAAGAAGAUGCUAAGUGAGUAAAUUCAAUUUUAAAGAUUGAGGCUUUUUCCCUGAUAUCCUGAUUUAACAUUUCUGUAUGCCAUAUUUCAG
rnacentral:lncRNA from 1 species